CUGGCAAUCUAGGUCCGGAAGAGGAUGGCGGAAUUCCCAGUGUAGAGGUGAAAUUCGUAGAUAUUGGGAAGAACCACCGGUGGGGAAGGCGGGCCAUCUGGUCCCGGUACUGACGUUGAGGGCGCGAAAGCGUGGGGAGCAAACAGGAUUAGAUACCCCUGGUAGUCCACGCCGUAAACGAUGUGUGCUAGCCGUUGGGGCACUUGGUGUCUCGGUGGCGCAGCUAACGCGUUAAGCACACCGCCUGGGGAGUACGGUCGCAAGAUUAAAACUCAAAGGAAUUGACCGGGGGCCCGCACAAGCGGUGGAGCAUGUGGUUUAAUUCGAAGCAACGCGCAGAACCUUACCAGCCCUUGACAUGGGCGUCGCGGAUCUUGGAGACAGGAUCUUUCAGUUCGGCUGGACGCCACACAGGUGCUGCAUGGCUGUCGUCAGCUCGUGUCCGUGAGAUGUUGGGUUAAGUCCCGCAACGAGCGCAACCCUCGCCCUUAGUUGCCAUCGGUUCGGCCGGGCACUCUAGGGGAACUGCCGGUGACAAGCCGGAGGAAGGCGGGGAUGACGUCAAGUCCUCCAUGGCCCUUAUGGGCUGGGCUCACACACGUGCU
rnacentral:rRNA from 1 species